UACGUAGGGUGCAAGCGUUGUCCGGAAUUAUUGGGCGUAAAGAGCUCGUAGGCGGUUUGUCGCGUCUGCUGUGAAAACUCGGGGCUUAACUCCGAAACUGCAUUCGAUACUGCCGUGCUUGAGGACUGGAGAGGAGACUGGAAUUUACGGUGUAGCGGUGAAAUGCGUAGAUAUCGUAAGGAAGACCAGUGGCGAAGGCGGGUCUCUGGACAGUUCCUGACGCUGAGGCACGAAGGCCAGGGGAGCAAACGGG
rnacentral:rRNA from 1 species